GGCUUCAACCCCAUAUUAUUC
rnacentral:miRNA from 1 species